rnacentral:rRNA from 1 species
GCAAGUCGAGCGGUAACAGGAAUUAGCUUGCUAAUUUGCUGACGAGCGGCGGACGGGUGAGUCAUGAUUGGGAAUAUGCCUUAGUGUGGGGGAUAACUAUUGGAAACGAUAGCUAAUACCGCAUAAAGUUUUCGGACCAAGUGGGGACCGUCGGGCCUCUCGCGCUAAGAUUAGCCCGAGUGGGAUUAGCUAGUUGGUGAGGUAAAGGCUCACCAAGGCAACGAUCCCUAGCUGGUCUGAGAGGAUGAUC